rnacentral:tRNA from 1 species
GGGCCGCUAGCUCAACUGGCAGAGCAACUGACUCUUAAUCAGUAGGUUCCGGGUUCGAGUCCCGGGCGGCUCA